UGCAGAAUGUGAGGUUCCAGUUCUGCCCCAACGCUCGUUCGUUGUAAAAGCCCGAGCUUGGUGGAAGGAUCCUCGCAUUUCAGGAGAACGGGGAAGUGGGGAUCACAAACGAGAAUGCUUCGAAAGACAUUCCUCCUACUCUAUCUGCUCCUCCUUUCCAAUUCGUUCAUUCCAUCGGCGAUGGCUGCCAGGGAGCUUCUUAGAGUUGGAAGAAUUCACCACGACAGGCCUAUGGCUGCCCCGAUAAUCCGACAUCGUCCUGUUUGCAGAAACCCUGCGUAUUGUCGUGGAAUCCCUGCCUUUCGUGCUCCACCUCCCCCUCGUGCACCUCCGGCCCCAUAGCUGCAGAGUAAAACCGCGUAGGUGUACUGCUACUAAUGGCAUAUUGCCAUGAAAUGGACGUAUGAACUAAAUAAGCGGCUGCAUCAUGAUGUCAUGUUUGGUUUGUUGUACGUGUACUGUAUGCACCUAACUAUAAUUGGGAAUUUUAAAGAUGCUAUGUUGUUCUGCUACUCUUGUAUUGAGUUACGGCCUCUCUCUAUUAUCCACUUCUUUUUUUACCA